UACGUAGGGUGCAAGCGUUGUCCGGAUUUAUUGGGUUUAAAGGGUGCGUAGGCGGUCUGUUAAGUCAGUGUUUAAAUUUUGCAGCUUAACUGUAGGUAUGGCAUUGAUACUGAUGGACUUGAAUAUUAAGGAGGUAGCUGGAAUUUAUGGUGUAGCGGUGAAAUGCAUAGAUACCAUAAGGAACACCGAUAGCGGAGGCAGGUUACUACUUGAUUAUUGACGCUGAGGCACGAAAGUGUGGGGAUCAAACAGG
rnacentral:rRNA from 1 species